GAGGGUAUAGCUCAAGUGGUAGAGCUCAUGCUUGACAUGCAUGAGGUCCUAGGUUCAAUCCCCAGUACCUCCU
rnacentral:tRNA from 1 species